GCAUAUCAAUAAGCGGAGGAAAAGAAACUAACAAGGAUUCCCCUAGUAACUGCGAGUGAAGCGGGAAAAGCUCAAAUUUAAAAUCUGGCGGUCUUUGGCCGUCCGAGUUGUAAUCUAGAGAAGUGUUACCCGCGCCGGACCGUGUAUAAGUCUCCUGGAAUGGAGCGUCAUAGAGGGUGAGAAUCCCGUCUUUGACACGGACUCCCGGGGCAUUUGUGGUGCGCUCUCAAAGAGUCGAGUUGUUUGGGAAUGCAGCUCAAAAUGGGUGGUAAAUUCCAUCUAAAGCUAAAUAUUGGCGAGAGACCGAUAGCGAACAAGUACCGUGAGGGAAAGAUGAAAAGAACUUUGGAAAGAGAGUUAAACAGUACGUGAAAUUGCUGAAAGGGAAACGC
rnacentral:rRNA from 1 species